ACCAUGUUGGUGAGGCUUGAGCAGAUAAGGUUUCUGGCUCGAGUAUCCUUUUCUUUAGCCAGAGGAUCUACUUUAACUUCCUUAUCAGUGACAUCGUCACUAUCAUCUGUAGUUUCUACUUUCAUAGAACUAGCUGCUUCAGUCAAGAUGUGUCCCAGCCCUUGCAGCUCCAGCUGCAUUUGCAUCUUAAACUUCCACAUACCGAAGUCACCAGAUCCAUCAAACUUCUCCAUCUCAAACUUCCCGUGGACCGAU
rnacentral:lncRNA from 1 species